CCACAUUCUGAGAACUUCCUACCCGGUAGCUCUUCGCUUCCUUCAGAGCGGCCUGGCCCCGCUCCAUUCACCUCGACAUGAACAGCAAAGGCAAAAAUCGACCUGGCACCCAACUUGUACACCUUCCCACCGAGAGCAGCAAAAGCUCUCAGUGUCAGAGAAGCACACAGCUCAGUAGAGACUCUAGAAGAACGGCAGCCACGCCCUGGCAAUCUGAUGCAACCCGCUCAGAUCACCAUGCCACAAACCCCAGCCAUUACCCUGGAACAAAGCAGAUCUUAUGAAGAGCCCCAUGGUCUAACUCUUGUCUGCGAUACAUUGCUCUUCCCUCUGUCUCUCCUUGUAAUUCCAGGUAACACAAAUAAAGUUCGCUGUAGAGCCCUAUUAGCCUAAAACUUCCAAGCUAAUUUACUGGCCCAAGAUUUAGGUCAGUGCUGUCCCAACUACAACAGAGGAGGCGACCAAUUUCUAUCCUUAAAACUCUGAUCUGCAGAGGAAGCAAAAGAAGAUGGUCUUGAGUAGCUUUAAAAGCAUCAGCUCAGAUUAUUGUACUCAUUCCAGCACGACCACGAAAUGCAGGAACUGUGAAGAAUAAGUGGAUACUGAGAAGGAGGAUCGUCCUUCCACAGCACUGAGCACCAUCUAAGGGCCCCUUUCUGCAAGCUGACUCCCUCCCUGAGCUUCACAGCCGCACAUUCAGAGGAGCAGGCUGGCCCAGGCCUCAGAGAGCACCACCGCGAGGCGACACCCCCAAGGCCUGGGCAAGAGUGGUAUUUCCCUAAGGUUUGAUGAGGUAACUGCCAAUGCUCUUUAACCAAGAUUAGCGGGUAACAGGAGAGUGGAAUCUUCUUAACACCGUUGACAGGAAACCUAUUUUGAGCCCAGCAAAGGCCAAACACCUCCAUAUUAAGAAACACUUUAAACAGGCAAUACUAAAUCAUUAAACCUUAAAAAUC